rnacentral:lncRNA from 1 species
UGCCUCGGAGACGAUAUCAAAGGAAUUUUAGCAUUGUAUGAAGCUGCAUAUCUUUUGGGAGAAGAAGAGAGCACCAUCUUCCAUGAAGCUAUCAAUUUCACAACCACACAUCUCGAAGAAUACGUGAAGAAGCAUAAUGAUGAUGAUGAUGAUGAUGGUGGAUAUUUUUCAGCAUUAGUGAAGCAUGCAUUGGAACUUCCCUUACACUGGAGGAUGGUAAGAUUGGAGGCAAGGUGGUUCAUUGAUGUAUAUGAAAGAGGAACGGACAUGAACCCAGUUUUGGUCGAGCUUGCUAAACUGGACUUUAAUUCUGUGCAAGCAGCACACCAAGACGAGCUCAAGUAUGUGUCUUGGUGGUGGAGG